CAAUGAACAUUUUUAUUUGUGUUCAAAAAAUUCACAAAUUUUAAUAUUUUUAAAUACAAUUAAAAACUACAAUUAAAAAUGCUUCAAAAAACGAAGUGCGUACUUUUGGGUGUGGUUUGAUUCUGUUCUCGGGCGGUGAGUGAUUUUUUUUGGACGAGCAGUUUACAAGUGUUAGUUUAAUUGGUGGAAUCAUCAACAAUGUCCUUCCUCGAUAAGUUCCCAUCGAAUCCCUCCCCCGAAGAAACGUUAGCUCAGCUUCAACGUUUCCUCGGAAGGAACUCAUCCCUUCAACCGGCCUCCUCCAGCGCGAUGUCGAAUAACAAAGGAAUCAAGGGCAAAAUUAAAAAGUCCACGAUUCCAGAAGAGCUGAGCAUGCAGGAUUUGACGCACUUGGGAAUGUGGCUUAUCAGACAUCUCCCCGUUUCGAGGGACUCCGUAUUUGAAUUUAUUUCCAGCACGUACAGCCAAUUUGUGAAGGAAUACAUUAUCCAACAGCAGGGAAAUGUUUCUUCUUGUACCGACGACGAUUUAAAACUACUUGACGACAUUCACGAAGCGUUCCUAACUUUUUUGAAAGCAAAUGGUGAAAUUUGGGCCCCCAUCCUGUCAACUUGGACGCUUCAUCUGCUUGGACAAUUGUCGAAAGACUACAGCCACCAGAUUGCCUUCACACAUGGAGCACAACUGCAGAAUGUUAAUGACACGAUUCGUUUCUGGAUGGGGUCAAAGGCUAUUCAGAGUUUGAUGGAUUUGACGGCCCGUUGUCUCACGUGUCGUGAUCAUGCGAAUGCGGAUACUUUCAUUUCUGCAUUAAUUGAUACCAGCACAAUUCACAGUCCCCGUUUCGAUUGGGUUGUCGCACACGUUGGGAACACGUACCCUCAAACGAUUGUCUCGCAAGUUUUGAAUCUUGGAUUUCAGCACUUUUCCGUAAAUUCACCCAUGGCGUCGGUAAAACUAAACUCGGUCCGAGCAAUUCUCGAGCAUUUGGUUGGAACUCAUGCGAAAGAAGUGCAGCAAGCGUUUGACCAAACGAUUCAACAAGGAUUGACGGACAAUAGUUUGAACAUGGUUAUUCUCUACGUGAUGACGAUGUGCUCGAAUUCCAUGCCCCUUCUCGACGUUCUGAUGGACACCGUGUUUCCCCGACUUAAUGAAGAAACGCUGCUAAAACUUCGUACCAUUGUGCCUAAAUGGAUCCAGAUUCACUUUGGAGGUCGUGAGGUGGCUGCCGUGGCGUUAGUGACGCAUUUGAUCAUGAAAAGUUCACGGGGUCCGAGAGCACUGGAAAUUCUGAUGAAAGGUUGCAAAGAAUGGGUGCCCCCGAUCGGAAUAUAUGCACGGACUCUCUUGGAUCACUUUAUUGCCGAAGCCUCCAGCAUGUUUUACGGCUCCGACUCUCCCAGAAAAGGCCUCGCCACAAACUUCCCCGCCUUCCCCGCAAUGAAGGACAACUCCUCCAUCAUCAUAAACUUCUUAACCGACACUGACCCCCAGAUAGCUCGCGCAGCCAAACAAUUCGUCAAAAUCCUCUCCAUGUAUGACGGCGCCGCCGUCGGAGUGAAGGCAAUCUGCCACUAUCUCAACCAUUCUACCGACGACGUCCACCGCUGGCACAUGGUCGACCUGAUCGCCAUGCUCGAAAUGAAGUAUUCCAACCUUCUCACCGACACCCUACAAAUUUUAGCCAUCCGCUCCUCCAACUCAGACAAAGCCAAGAUCUCCGACAAACUACGAAAAUGGGACAACAUUUUAAAACUUGUGAAAAGUGAGCGUGAAACUAAAAUCAAACUUCCCAUCCGACAAAAGAUGAGUGUCGUCCUGCAAGAAAACUUGUGGAUUUUGACGCCCUUAAUGGACGUUCGAAAACUUGGUUUUUGUCUCGACGAGGCCGGAAUUGUGAUUGAAAUUCUCUCCAAACUUCCCGAACUUAAGAACAAUUCCAAAUUUGGGACACGUCUCGCCCUGCAGCGACACUUGGUCGAAUUUCUCUUCAAAGUUUUAGCCCUUCCGGCAUCAUCAAAUCCGACGCAGAAGGUGAAAAAUGUGACAAACGUUUCCAAACUUUUGUACGAACUGGCGGAAAAUCCAGCCAUUCAGAACGAUUCGCUGAGAAGUUUGGUGCAAUACAGUUUGUAUCCGGAGUGCAAACAGCUCUUUAUGAAAAGAGUGAUUGGGAAUCCGAAACUGAAUUACUCCGCGUUCGAUUACGACUGCAUCGACCCGACCGGAAGUGGACACAGCGAUAAUGAAUUUCAACGCGGCAAGUUUUCCAUGUAUGUGUCGCUCAUGGAGGAAAAUCAGAGCAGAAGUUCCGUCCUGAAUAUUGCCGGGUCUCACGCGACCACCUUUCAUUCCGGGAAACUGCUGAAGAACGGGAUAAAAAAUUGGAGCGCCAUGCCGAAAGUUGUGAUUACGGAGAAUGAAGACGCGUACUUGAAUUUUGAGCUGUUUUUAUACGUGCUGAUGAAUGUUUGUAUGGCGGUGCCGUCAGGGGGGAAUGUUGGGGAGGGGUUUGAUGUCGGGUUGAGUGUGAAGGAUGUCGGGCAGGUCGUGUCGGUGGAGGCGAUGAAGAAGGUUGCUCUGCUGCUGGUGGAGAUUGUAUCACCGGAUGUUAUGUUUAACGGGUUGCCGUGGCCGGAAGAGGAAUUUUCGAAGGUUCAAGUGGAGCGAGAUUUACAAAUCCGACGUGCAUUUGAAGAUCAUCCAUACUUGUGGGAUUUGCUCGAGCUCGUAGCAAAUCAUUGCCCAUCUCUGUGCUAUUGUUCCGUUUUGUUAAGAGCACUAAUGGCGACGUUAAUGGCACAUUGGACAUCUUGUCAGGAAGCUCCAGCCAAAAAUUCGCCAAAUCAGUUGGAAUGGACCAUUCGUCUGUUGCAAAUAAUGAGAACGGGACAGCUAAUUCCGCCCCCGUUAUGCUACAUCGGACAAGUCGUGCACGAACUCAAGUCUCACGAAGUUUUAGCCUUACUGAAGGAUGUUUGGAGCUAUAUGAAAAUGAACAUCCCCGUCCCCACGAUAUUCAUCAGGAAGGACGCAAAGUCAAAUAGAUUUAUAAGAAAUCCCGAAUUUUCAAAGGUGGACGUUAUUUACACGGAAAAACUUAGAUUAGCUAUUUUAAACAAUAUUGAUCGGUUGGGUUACCUUUACCCGAAAUUAUUUCCUGUCCAGCAGACAGUGAAGGUUGAAGUAUAAAAAAUGAGUUAGUCUCGACAUCGCCAGCGGUAGGAAAGGAAAAUCGACCUGCUGAAAAUUAUCCGAGUUUUUUGAGGUGGUGCAAAAUUCUGCACAGUUUUUCUGCAAAUUAACGUUUAAAUUUAGGUUUAAAUUUAGGUGAUGAUUCAUCAGGUCCUACGUUAAAUUUUCCCAUGUAUUUUUAAGCAGAAUUUACCAAAAACGUGCACAGAUUUCUGGGCCAAUUUUAGGCAGAUCGAUUUUCAUAUUUUAGCCUUGACGAUGACUCUGGACUCGACAAAGACUGAUAAAUGUUGGUAUUUUUUCUUAGAUGAGGCCAUAGUUACUAUAUGGAAAAAAAUCAUCUAAGUAAGCAUUCACUACAGGUUUGAAAAGCUUAAUUUUUUCAGAUCUCCGUUAAUUUCCAACCGAUUUUAAUGAAAUUUUGCCCAGAGUUAAUUGCGGCUACCUCGAGUAGAGCCCUGAUUUGGCCGCCUAAAGCAUCCAACGGUUUAUGAGAUAUUCAAUAGAAACCCAACCAAUAGUGUGUUUUUUGGAGAUUUGAAAAAAUUUAAGGCAUGUAUGAAAAAAGUACACGGAUAAAAAGUUGAUACAUAUUUUUUAUAAAAAUACAAAAUUAAAAUAGACAAAAUCGGUUUAAAAGCGAGAAAGUUUUGAUGGUGGUGAAAUGUAACCACUCCCACCACCGCCCAAAGUUGAGUUGCUAAGGUCGACCCAGCGACUUCUCAAUUCAGAACCCUUUAGGUGAUGCUUGGGUCUCUUAAAAAGUAGGUCAUUAGUAAUAUGGUUGGUGGUCACAUAAAUUACUGUUCAAUACAAAUAAAAACUAAUAAAUAAAAGAAACCCAAAAAAGGACAGCUUAGAUGAGACUAAGUGCGAUAAAAAGUAUUUAAUAAAUUUCUUCUUCAGUGAAGGGCACAGAAUUUUAAUAUUUCCAGCAUCAGCGCCCCAUUUCAUUCAGUACUAUGUACCAUGAUAUAAUAGUAUAGUUCUGUGCCAUGUACAUACAAGUAUACAAUAAGUAUCAAAUUUGAAAUAUUAAAAUCAUUUGUGAAUUUUUCUUGUCACUAAAAAAUUAUGAAUGCUUACAAAUAUACUGAAAGUUGAUACAUGAUAUACAGGUGUAGCCUAACAUGGUCGACUUUUAAUAAUAUGUACAUAUAUGCAUACAUGUUGCUUAUGUACAGACAUUUGAGUAAAUUCUUAAAUGAAAUGGGGGCGCUGAUGCUGGAAAUAUUAAAAUUCUAUGUCCUUCACUGGAGAAGAAAUUUAUUAAAUACUUUUUAUCGCACUGAGUCUCAUCUAAGCUGUCCUUUUUUGGGUUUCUUU